GUACGCGCUUCAGCAGUGAGUACAUAUACUAAAAUUGGAACGAUACAGAGAAGAUUGGCAUGACCCCUGCUCAAGGAUAACAUGCAAAUUUGUUUUUGUUUUAGUUUUU